GGAUUAGAUACCCUGGUAGUCCACGCCCUAAACGAUGAUAACUAAGUGUUGCCUGUAGAGGCAGUGCUGUAGCUAACGCGUUAAGUUAUCCACCUGAGGAGUACGGUCGCAAGAUUAAAACUCAAAGGAAUAGACGGGGACCCACACAAGCAGUGGAUCACGUGGUUUAAUUCGACAAUAAACGGGGAAUCUCACCCAGACUUGACAUCCUGAGAAGACACUGGAAACAGAGUUGUGCCCUUACGGGAACUCAGUGACAGGUGCUGCAUGGUUGUCGUCAGCUCGUGCCG
rnacentral:rRNA from 1 species